rnacentral:rRNA from 1 species
GACGAACGCUGGCGGCGUGCUUAACACAUGCAAGUCGAACGGUGAAGGGGCCUGCUUUUGUGGGUCCUGGAUGAGUGGCGAACGGGUGAGUAACACGUGAGUAACCUGCCCCCUUCUUCUGGAUAACCGCAUGAAAGUGUGGCUAAUACGGGAUACUCUGGGUCUGUCGCAUGGUGGGCCUGGGAAAGAUUGCGCCUUUUUUGGUGUUUUUGGUGGGGGAUGGGCUCGCGGCCUAUCAGCUUGUUGGUGGGGUGAUGGCCUACCAAGGCGGUGACGGGUAGCCGGCCUGAGAGGGUGGACGGUCACACUGGGACUGAGACACGGCCCAGACUCCUACGGGAGGCAGCAGUGGGGAAUAUUGCACAAUGGGCGCAAGCCUGAUGCAGCGACGCCGCGUGAGGGAUGGAGGCCUUCGGGUUGUGAACCUCUUUCGCCAGUGAAGCAGGCCUGCCUCGUUUG